GGGGCCGUAGCUCAGUUGGUAGAGCGCCUGGUUUGCAACCAGGAGGUCACGAGUUCGAACCUCGUCGGCUCCACCA
rnacentral:tRNA from 1 species